CCCUUAGAUGUUCUGGGCAGCACGCGCGCUACAAUGGUCUUCGCAAACGGAUGCAUUCUCGAAGGAGAAUGCCAAUCUUGGAAUCUAUGCCUUGGUCGGGACAGUUGCUUGCAAUUUUUCGACUCGAACCAGGAAUUCCUUGUAAUCGUGAUUCAUCACAUCACGAUGAAUACGUCCCUGCCCUUUGUGCACACCGCCCGUCGCUCCUACCGAUCGAAGAGUUAGGUGAAUUGUUUUGAUCGAUAAGAUUUGGCUAUGGUCAACUCUCGUUGUGAAAUUCUGUGAAUCUGACUGUUUAGAGGAAGGAAAAGUCGUAACA
rnacentral:rRNA from 1 species